GAAUUUUGGACAAUGGGGGCAACCCUGAUCCAGCCAUCCCGCGUGUUCGAUGAAGGCCUUCGGGUUGUAAAGCACUUUUGGCAGGGAAGAAAAGGCUCUGGCUAAUACCUGGAGCUGCUGUCCGUACCUGCAGUAUCAGCAGCGGCUCACUACGUUCCCGCAGCCGCGGUAAUACGUAGGGUGCAAGCGUUAAUCGGAAUUACUGGGCGUAAAGCGUGCGCAGGCGGGUCGGCAAGAAGGAUGUGAAAUCCCAGGGCUUAACCUUGGAACUGCAUUCUUAACUGCCGGGCUAGAGUAUGUCAGAGGGGGGUAGAAUUCCGCGUGUAGCAGUGAAAUGCGUGGAGAUGCGGAGGAAUACCGAUGGCGAAGGCAGCCCCCUGGGAUAAUACUGACGCUCAUGCACGAAAGCGUGGGGAGCAAAC
rnacentral:rRNA from 1 species